UACGUAGGGGGCAAGCGUUGUCCGGAUUUAUUGGGCGUAAAGGGCGUGUAGGCGGCCGACUAGGUCCGACGUGAAAUCCCCAGGCUUAACCUGGGAACUGCGUCGGAUACUGGAUGGCUUGAAUCCGGGAGAGGGAUGCGGAAUUCCAGGUGUAGCGGUGAAAUGCGUAGAUAUCUGGAGGAACACCGGUGGCGAAGGCGGCAUCCUGGACCGGAAUUGACGCUAAAGCGCGAAAGCCAGGGGAGCAAACGGG
rnacentral:rRNA from 1 species